UACGUAGGUGGCGAGCGUUGUCCGGAUUUAUUGGGUUUAAAGGGUGCGUAGGCGGUCCUAUAAGUCAGUGGUGAAAUAUCGCAGCUUAACUGUGAGGGUGCCAUUGAUACUGUAGGACUUGAGUGAAUUUGAGGUAGGCGGAAUUGACGGUGUAGCGGUGAAAAUGCUUAGAUAUCGUCAAGAACACCGAUAGUGAAGACAGCUUACCAAGCUUCAACUGA
rnacentral:rRNA from 1 species